rnacentral:tRNA from 1 species
AUUUAUUUAGUAUAAAAGUAUAUUUGACUUCCAAUCAAAAGGACUGAAUUCUAGUUCAGAAUAAAUA